UUCACAGGCUGGUGACAUUUCAGAAAUUCCCCAAGAGGAAGUCACAGGAGUGAGCUGCACAGCAUGGGGAGGAGACAGCAGGACUAAGGAGUUGGACAGUUUCAGGAGGAAUUCUUAAUAUCGAGCAAUGUUGCAUUUGUGAGGGGAGCCCUCCUCACCCCACCCUGGGUUGUCUCCAGGUGCAGAACAGAGCAUGGAAGGCCUCACUUGACACUGCAGUAGCCCACAGCCUGGUGCUUGAUUGUGCUUCACAAAUGGGGAAACAGAGGCUCAGGUGGCUUUCUGGGGUACUGAUCACAGCAGAGAAACACUACAGCCUGGCAUGGAGCCUCUGGAUAUGGGCCCUGGGUGAGGGAGGGCUAAAACCCACCAGCAUCCGGGUGAGUGGUGUGUGCAUGAUGGAGCCUGGGGCCUGAGGUACUAGGGAGCCACUGAAGACUUGGAGGAGGGGGUGCAUCCCCCUCCAAAGCAGAACUAUAGAUAACUGGAGCAUGAGCUGGGGGCCAGGCAGCCUGGAGCCAAAGGCGGGGCUCAGAGGGAAACCCUGCUUUGGGGUGAGGUGUCCAGCUGGAACAGGGUGAUAGCCUGAGCCCCAACAGGUGGGCGGCACCAAAAGGAACUGCUAUGAGCUCAGCUCCGUCAGAGACUCCAGAUCCAAAAUUCGUCACUUGCCAGCUCAUGGCCCUGCCCAUCUAUUGUGGCCCCAAGACCCCAGGGGCUCCUGACCUCCCACCCACUCUGAUCCAGCCCUUGGGCUUCUGCCGCUGUUGUGGCGCACCAAGCAUGCGCGCAGCCUUUGCACCACUGUGCCUCUGCCUGAGACAAGUGCCCCGCAUCUUUACAGUCCUGGCUGCUGCUCAGAUCCAGGGCACAGCUCCAGCAUCCCCUCAGGGAGGCCCUGCUGACUACAGUCACCACCACCACCAUUAACAGCCUGGGAAACGCGGUCAAGAAAGGUGGGAGAAGGUUCUAGGAAAGUGAUGAUGGCUUCGUCUUCCCCCUUCCUGACACAGCCCCCCCCCCCACCAGGCCCAGAGACUGCCCCAGCCAGAGACCAGCAGGCCGCCCUUCAGGUACCAUGCAGGAGACGCAUCCUACACCAGCCAUUGCACUGCUGGGCCUUCUGCUUCCACAGCAACCAGGCUGUCCCUCCCUCUGCUUCAAGGUCCCAGCCACCCCAGGCCACCAGCACCAGGCUGGGCUCAACCCAAGGCCACACCAUGUGCCAGGCCCUGAGCAGGAGGGCCCAUGGGCCUGUGGGUGUCACAGUGGGAGGGGGUGCCCUGUGUCAGGGGAACCACAGGAUGGCCCCAGCUCCAGCCCCACAGAGCAGGAGCAGCUGGGGAAGCCCCAGCCCAGCCGGGCAGGCUCGGUGCCAGGGAGGUGGA